CGUCCCCUCCAUCUCCCUCUCCUUCCUGCAAAUCCCAAGCCGGCGAGGGGGAGAGGGAGGCGCGGGCGGCGGGGAGGACGAGGAACCACUGGCUGUCGCCGAGGAGCCGUUGGUGACGUCGGAGGCGAGGGCGGUGGCCUCGGCGGCGCGGGUAGGGGGGAGAGGCCAAGGUGGGCGGCGAGGAGGUAGUGGGCGCGGAGGAGGCUGUUGUUGCGGCGGGAGAAGUCGCCAACGGAGAGGAGGAGGGAGCUGAUGGGAACGUCGUCGGAGGUCCAGAUCCGGUGAACCUCUGCUCUCUCUCUCUCUCUCUUAUUACUUUUUUAAGGCCUCCGUUAGCUCUGUUAAAGGGUUGGAACCUCCGUGACAAGUAUGAAGCGGCGGCACCGCGACGGCGCUUCUUAAUCCUGGUAUUAAAGCCGAAACGCAAGUAGGGUUUUAAAAGCUUUCCAGUUCCAGGACAAGGUUAACAGUUCGGACGGAGAGAAGAGAGGAGCGCUUUCCGGGUAUUUAAGGAGAACUCGUGGAUCGCUAUCUGCCCUACAGUUGCGCGAGAUGGCAGAGUGGGGCGGCGCGGCGGAGAGCGAUCUCAAGGCGGCGGGGGCGGAAGCGCUUCCGGACGGACGGAGCGGGGUUCGGCUCAGAGGCUGGCACAUCGAGUCCUCCAGGAGGCCCAUUCUUGGCUCCCUUGCCCUCCAAGAGUGGGAAGAAAAGCUUGGGACAUCACACUUGCCUGAGAUGGUUUUUGGGGAGAGUUCUUUAUAUCUCUUACAUGAGGAUAGUGGUAUUAAGUUGCACUUCAAUGCAUUUGAUGCUCUAAAGGGUUGGAAACAGGAAUCAUUGCCACCGGUUGAAGUUCCUGCAGCUGCAACAUGGAAAUCUAGAAGUAAACCUUUUCAGCAAGUGAUACUUGAUUACGACUAUACAUUUACGACACCAUAUUGUGGCAGUGAGGCAAUAGAACCAAAUACAGAAAAGGCAAUUUUGGAAGAUGGGUGCUGUAGCUUGUGCUGGGAGGACUCUGAUCAACGAAUUGAUCUGGCUGCACUGUCCUCAAAAGAACCAAUUCUCUUCUUUGAUGAGGUAGUUCUAUAUGAAGAUGAGCUGGCUGAUAGUGGAGUAUCACUCUUAACUGUAAAAGUGAGGGUGAUGCCCAGUUGUUGGUUUCUUCUAUUUCGUUUCUGGCUCAGAAUUGAUGGAGUACUAAUGAGAUUGAGGGAUACUCGAGUUUAUUGUCCUUUUGUAAGCGAUCACAAAUCCAUGCCUGCCAUUCUUCGUGAGAGCUGCUGGAGAGAAGCGACAAUCCAGAGUUUAUCUGCUGUAUGUUCGUGCAGUCUUUAUGUACAUGAAGGUUUUCCUUCUGAUUCUGCAGCAUAUGGAGAUCCGAAUCUUAUUGGUCAGAGGCUCCCUGUCAUCACACAUAAGACCCAAAGGCUGAAAGUUUCCAGAUCUAUCACUGGAGGCUGAUGAGACUGGUCACGGAGUUUGAUGGCUUUUCUACAUGGUUUACACCAAGGGUCACACCCCCUCUGUUUAAAGGCAAAAUGUCCGAGUUUGAAUAUUGGAUGGUGCAUCUCCAAGAAUUUGGACUUGGUUAAUUAUAAAUUGAAGUUGCAUGAAAACACCUUAAGAGGGGCAUGCUUGGACUGAGAAUCUGAGGAGUUUGUGGCUGCUGAGGAGAUGCUCCCGCCCAGGGUCAGGUUCAACCAUGUUCGGGAGUUGUCACCAACUUCCCUGUCAUCAUAGUUGCUGGCCAUGAUCAUGAUGAAAGGCAGUUCCCCAAUAAAAAGCCGUCGGUUCCAUGUGGAUACGGCAAAUGGAGGAAGAUAUGCCUGCCCUCUCUGCCAAAAGAGAGUGACAUAAGCAACCAACGCGAUUCCUAAUAGCUUUAGGGUGAAGCUCUUCUUAGAAGCAGGGGAAGCCAGGAAUCCAAAGCAAACAGUGAUAUACUUGUUUGGCUCCUUCUGGAGUAUUAUUCCUAGGGUUUGUGGUGUGGAUCAUUGCUCCAUGAGAGAAUAUAUGGAAGAGCUGUGCAGUUGUUUGCAAGCGACAGGAGAGAACGUCCAGCUCCCAACCUCUCACGUCUGGUGGGAUCCUGCCCUCAUCGAUCAAACUGUAUCGGUCCAAACCAAAGUCUUUCCGUCAAUUGGACAACUGCUGAUAUGCAUCCGUCCAAGUUCCAAGCCCAAAUCAAGUGUAUGAUGGCUGAGAUUGCUGAAAAGAACGAAGAAAAGCCUUCCAGCACAAGAUCAAAUGAAUACAAUGCGUAGGACGGUUCCCCACGCAAACGCAUAUCUUUUGUCGGGUCAAUUUCAUGCGCAAUUCUGGCAGCAUUAACAUUGGAUCUUUAACUAGAGGGCGCACGCAGCGAGAGCAGCGUGCCCUCUUCCACUGCCAGAAGCCAAUAGCGGGGAGAGGGGCAUCUCUUCCGGGGGCACUGAUGGUGACCUGAUAAGCCCUCCUGAUGAUCGUGGGCCCUUUUUUUUUUCCCGUCCUUUAUUUCUCCUAGUCGAGCAGGGAAAUAGGUCCGGAACGAAAACAGGUGGCCAGUAAUCACUGGCGCUGUUUUUGCUUUUUUGCGAGAGGUCUGCGGCAUCAGUGAGGCAAUCGAAUUGGGUACAAGCGUCGUGCACCAGAACAUUACUUCUCUUGUGCCCUUAACUGUUGUUGGUCAAGCAUACUGUGCGUCACUGAGUCUGGAGUCUUGCUUUCCUCGAGGGGACCAGAUCCAGAUUCUCUAAGCCUGAAGUCGAAUGUUUUGAAUGGAACAAACAGAACAGAUCAUUAGUGAAUUGCGUUUAGCAUGGUCGUUCCCCAA